UUUCUUUUUACUUGUUUUCCAGUUUUGCCAGGACGAUUAAAUAUCAUUGAUGCUUCUGGUCUACAAUUAGUCAGAGAAGAGAUUAAAAAAAUGAUGAGUAUUCAAGAAGGAAAGUGUUUGCUUUAACAUAUGAAGAAAAGGAGCUUCAGAGUGGUGAUUAACCCCAGAAUUGUGUGGAACGGAUAUGGAAACAAGACCACAGGAGCAUCGAGAACUGAGCAGAACUGAAGAUUGGGCGGAUG
rnacentral:lncRNA from 1 species